rnacentral:rRNA from 1 species
CCUACGGGUGACAGCAGUGGGGAAUAUUGCACAAUGGGGGGAACCCUGAUGCAGCGACGCCGCGUGAGUGAAGAAGUAUUUCGGUAUGUAAAGCUCUAUCAGCAGGGAAGAAAAUGACGGUACCUGACUAAGAAGCCCCGGCUAACUACGUGCCAGCAGCCGCGGUAAUACGUAGGGGGCAAGCGUUAUCCGGAUUUACUGGGUGUAAAGGGAGCGCAGACGGCUGUGCAAGUCUGGAGUGAAAGGCGGGGGCCCAACCCCCGGACUGCUCUGGAAACUGUAAAGCUGGAGUGCAGGAGAGGUAAGCGGAAUUCCUAGUGUAGCGGUGAAAUGCGGAGAUAUUAGGAGGAACACCAGUGGCGAAGGCGGCUUACUGGACUGCAACUGACGUUGAGGCUCGAAAGCGUGGGGAGCAAACAGGAUUAGAUACCCGAGUAGUC